rnacentral:rRNA from 1 species
UACGAAGGGGGCUAGCGUUGCUCGGAAUCACUGGGCGUAAAGCGCACGUAGGCGGCUUCUUAAGUCAGGGGUGAAAUCCUGGAGCUCAACUCCAGAACUGCCUUUGAUACUGAGGAGCUUGGGUCCGGGAGAGGUGAGUGGAACUGCGAGUGUAGAGGUGAAAUUCGUAGAUAUUCGCAAGAACACCAGUGGCGAAGGCGGCUCACUGGCCCGGUACUGACGCUGAGGUGCGAAAGCGUGGGGAGCAAACAGG